rnacentral:rRNA from 1 species
GAUGAACGCUAGCGGCAGGCUUAAUACAUGCAAGUCGAGGGGCAGCACAGAUAGCAAUAUUGGGUGGCGACCGGCAAACGGGUGCGGAACACGUACACAACCUUCCUUUUGGUGGGGGAUAGCCUUUGGAAACGGAGAUUAAUACCCCAUAAGAUAUUGGGACCGCAUGGUUUUGAUAUUAAAGAUUUAUUGCCAGAAGAUGGGUGUGCGUAUGAUUAGGUAGUUGUGAGGUAAAGACUCACCAAGCCGACGAUAAUUAAUUGGUGUGAGAGCACGACCAGUCACACGGGCACUGAGACACGGGCCCGACUCCUACGGGAGGCAGCAGUAAGGAAUAUUGGUCAAUGGACGGAAGUCUGAACCAGCCAUGCCGCGUGGAGGAUGAAGGUCCUCUGGAUUGUAAACUUCUUUUAUAUGGGGCGAAAAAGGGCCAUUCUUGGUCAACUGACGGUACCAUAUGAACAAGCACCGGCUAACUCCGUGCCAGCCGCCGCAGUAAAAC